rnacentral:lncRNA from 1 species
GACCGUGUCACCCUUAAAACCCUACCCCCUUUCGUUUCCUUUGUUUUGUCUUCUUCUUUAACUACCUUCUUACCCUAGUCACCGCUCAUCUAAGUUCCCCACCACAGCCCACAUCGUCGCCGCCGAACCUCUCCUUCACUAGUCCAACCACCCCUCAAUUCCUUUCAUUAAUAUGCCCUCUCCCUCUUUCCAUUGAAUCCCCUCACUGAGCCUUUCCUCCUCGUCGUACUCCUUUCCCUUUCCCUUCACCUAGCCUCGAUCAAACCUCCAGCCCCCUAUCUCGCCGCAUCCUCCUCAAUCCUGAUCCCUGUUCUUUUUUUCCCCUCUUCCCUCUUUGCAUUGCGCUCCUCUUUUUCCCGCCGACUGUUAUUCCCGCCGCCACUAGUAGCUCCAGUCACCCCAUUGUUUGCCUUUCUUUAUUUUAUUUUUUUAUUUAGUAUUUUAUUAAUUUUAUUAAUUUCUUUAUUUUAUUCCUCUGCUUCUUUUCUUUAGUAUUCCAUUUAGUAAUUUUAUUAGUUUUAUUUUUGUUUUAUUAUUCCUAAUACCUUUAUUUUUAUGGAUUUUUC